AUUGAACGCUGGCGGCAGGCCUAACACAUGCAAGUCGAACGGUAGCACAGAGAGCUUGCUCUCGGGUGACGAGUGGCGGACGGGUGAGUAACGUCUGGGAAACUGCCCGAUGGAGGGGGAUAACUACUGGAAACGGUAGCUAAUACCGCAUAACGUCGCAAGACUAAAGAGGGGGACCUUCGGGCCUCUUGCCAUCGGAUGUGCCCAGAUGGGAUUAGCUAGUAGGUGGGGUAACGGCUCACCUAGGCGACGAUCCCUAGCUGGUCUGAGAGGAUGACCAGCCACACUGGAACGGGGGCACGGUCCAGACUCCUACGGGAGGCAGCAGUGGGGAAUAUUGCACAAUGGGCGCAAGCCUGAUGCAGCCAUGCCGCGUGUAUGAAGAAGGCCUUCGGGUUGUAAAGUACUUUCAGCGGGGAGGAAGGCGAUAAGGUUAAUAACCUUGUCGAUUGACGUUACCCGCAGAAGAAGCACCGGCUAACUCCGUGCCAGCAGCCGCCGUAA
rnacentral:rRNA from 1 species